rnacentral:rRNA from 1 species
CCUACGGGAGGCUGCAGUGAGGAAUAUUGGUCAAUGGGCUUACGCCUGAACCAGCCAAGUCGCGUGAGGGAAGACUGCCCUAUGGGUUGUAAACCUCUUUUGUCAGGGAGCAAUUGGCGCUACGUGUAGCGUUAUCGAGAGUACCUGCAGAAAAAGCAUCGGCUAACUCCGUGCCAGCAGCCGCGGUAAUACGGAGGAUGCGAGCGUUAUCCGGAUUUAUUGGGUUUAAAGGGUGCGUAGGCGGAAUGCCAAGUCAGCGGUAAAAUCGCGGGGCUCAACCUCGCUCCGCCGUUGAAACUGGCGUGCUUGAGUGGGCGAGAAGUAUGCGGAAUGCGUGGUGUAGCGGUGAAAUGCAUAGAUAUCACGCAGAACUCCGAUUGCGAAGGCAGCAUACCGGCGCCCAACUGACGCUGAAGCACGAAAGCGUGGGUAUCGAACAGGAUUAGAUACCCCAGUAGUC